CGGAGGAUCCAAGCGUUAUCCGGAAUCAUUGGGUUUAAAGGGUCCGUAGGCGGUUUAGUAAGUCAGUGGUGAAAGCCCAUCGCUCAACGGUGGAACGGCCAUUGAUACUGCUAGACUUGAAUUAUUAGGAAGUAACUAGAAUAUGUAGUGUAGCGGUGAAAUGCUUAGAGAUUACAUGGAAUACCAAUUGCGAAGGCAGGUUACUACUAAUGGAUUGACGCUGAUGGACGAAAGCGUGGGUAGCGAACAGGAUUAGAUACCCUGGUAGUCCACGCCGUAAACGGUGGAUACUAGCUGUUGGGAGCGAUCUCAGUGGCUAAGCGAAAGUGAUAAGUAUCCCACCUGGGGAGUACGUUCGCAAGAAUG
rnacentral:rRNA from 1 species